UAGAGGAGGCAGGUAGCCUAGUGGUAAGAGGCGGCAGGUAGCCUAGUGGUUAGAGGCGGCAGGUAGCCUAGUGGUUAGAGGCGGCAGGUAGCCUAGUGGUAAGAGGCGGCAGGUAGCCUAGUGGUAAGAGGCGGCAGGUAGCCUAGUGGUAAGAGGCGGCAGGUAGCCUAGUGGUAAGAGGCGGCAGGUAGCCUAGUGGUUAGAGGCGGCAGGUAGCCUAGUGGUUAGAGGCGGCAGGUAGCCUAGUGGUUAGAGGCGGCAGGUAGCCUAGUGGUAAGAGGCGGCAGGUAGCCUAGUGGUAAGAGGCGGCAGGUAGCCUAGUGGUUAGAGGCGGCAGGUAGCCUAGUGGUUAGAGGAGGCAGGUAGCCUAGUGGUAAGAGGCGGCAGGUAGCCUAGUGGUUAGAGGCGGCAGGUAGCCUAGUGGUUAGAGGCGGCAGGUAGCCUAGUGGUUAGAGGCGGCAGGUAGCCUAGUGGUAAGAGGCGGCAGGUAGCCUAGUGGUAAGAGGCGGCAGGUAGCCUAGUGGUAAGAGGCGGCAGGUAGCCUAGUGGUAAGAGGCGGCAGGUAGCCUAGUGGUAAGAGGCGGCAGGUAGCCUAGUGGUAAGAGGCGGCAGGUAGCCUAGUGUUUAGAGGCGGCAGGUAGCCUAGUGGUUAGAGGCGGCAGGUAGCCUAGUGGUUAGAGGCGGCAGGUAGCCUAGUGGUUAGAGGCGGCAGGUAGCCUAGUGGUUAGAGGGGGCAGGUAGCCUAGUGGUUAGAGGCGGCAGGUAGCCUAGUGGUUAGAGGCGGCAGGUAGCCUAGUGGUUAGAGGCGGCAGGUAGCCUAGUGGUAAGAGGCGGCAGGUAGCCUAGUGGUAAGAGGCGGCAGGUAGCCUAGUGGUAAGAGGCGGCAGGUAGCCUAGUGGUUAGAGGCGGCAGGUAGCCUAGUGGUUAGAGGCGGCAGGUAGCCUAGUGGUAAGAGGCGGCAGGUAGCCUAGUGGUAAGAGGCGGCAGGUAGCCUAGUGGUAAGAGGCGGCAGGUAGCCUAGUGGUAAGAGGCGGCAGGUAGCCUAGUGGUUAGAGGCGGCAGGUAGCCUAGUGGUUAGAGGCGGCAGGUAGCCUAGUGGUUAGAGGCGGCAGGUAGCCUAGUGGUAAGAGGCGGCAGGUAGCCUAGUGGUAAGAGGCGGCAGGUAGCCUAGUGGUUAGAGGCGGCAGGUAGCCUAGUGGUUAGAGGAGGCAGGUAGCCUAGUGGUAAGAGGCGGCAGGUAGCCUAGUGGUUAGAGGCGGCAGGUAGCCUAGUGGUUAGAGGCGGCAGGUAGCCUAGUGGUAAGAGGCGGCAGGUAGCCUAGUGGUAAGAGGCGGCAGGUAGCCUAGUGGUAAGAGGCGGCAGGUAGCCUAGUGGUAAGAGGCGGCAGGUAGCCUAGUGGUUAGAGGCGGCAGGUAGCCUAGUGGUUAGAGG